rnacentral:lncRNA from 1 species
UUUUAAUGGAAAGUCCACUUCAUUUGAACAUGAUUUAUUCAGCACCCAUAAAAUUGGAUCAGUCAUUGGCCAAACCAAAUGAAAACAAUAGCGGUCAUCAACAGAGCGGAUUUCCAUCAAAGUACUCAGCCAUGAUGAGAAAUGAGACUGUUGUUCUACAGAGAAAAAUCUGGAAAGAUUCUGAUGUAGCCUAUGCUAUACCUAAACGAUACAUCAAAUGGGAUAUAAGGAAUAUGGCCUUAUAAAAUUCACAAAUAGCCCUCUAAUCAAAUCCCUCUGAGAUGGUACCACACAAAUCAAAACAAUAAAUGCAUCAUUUAAUUAGC